AACAACUAACACUUUCAUAUGGUAAAUUUUUGCAGGAGGACAAAAUGCGACAUUUAAAAAGGUUUUGGUUUCUUAGUUUGAUCCUUUUCUGAAACAAGGAUAAAAAGGAUUUGAUUUCUCUUUUUGAUUCAAAUAUAUAAGCAGGUGACUUCAAAUAGACGAGGAGCUUCAUGUUCUCACAUUUUGUUUGACCCUGAACUCCUAGAAAUAGAAGCCUUCAAAAACAAGAUUUGUUUUUCAGGAUACCAAGAAGAGCCUUUUCAUGUGAGUUGCAUAUUAAUUCGAAUUUUAUUUUGGUUAUCAGUUUCUGAAUAAUAAAGCCUUUGCAACGUAUCAUUCAUAUUUUGAUUUGUACCAUUGUUGUUUUUAGCAUUUGAUCUUAAGAUUCUAAUUGAUGAACUAUGUACCGUUUAAAUUAUCUUGCCAGGACUAAACUAUUGAAAGCGUUAUUUUUAGUU